CGCUGGCGGCGUGCCUAACACAUGCAAGUCGAACGGGGAUUUGUUUCGGCAGAAUCCUAGUGGCGAACGGGUGAGUAACGCGUAGGCAACCUGCCCUCCGGCCGGGGACAACACUCCGAAAGGGGUGCUAAUACCGGAUACGAAGUCUGUGCCGCAUGGUACGGAUUUGAAAGAUGGCCUCUAUUUAUAAGCUAUCGCCGGGGGAUGGGCCUGCGUCCGAUUAGCUGGUUGGUGGGGUAACGGCCUACCAAGGCGACGAUCGGUAGCCGGUCUGAGAGGAUGAACGGCCACAUUGGGACUGAGACACGGCCCAGACUCCUACGGGAGGCAGCAGUGGGGAAUCUUCCGCAAUGGGCGCAAGCCUGACGGAGCAACGCCGCGUGAGUGAGGAAGUUCUUCGGAACGUAAAGCUCUGUUGUUCCUGACGAACCUCCCCUUUAUCAACAACGGAGGGGACUGACGGUAGGGAACGAGGAAGCCACGGCUAACUACGUGCCAGCCGCUGC
rnacentral:rRNA from 1 species